rnacentral:rRNA from 1 species
AUUGAACGCUGGCGGAAUGCUUUACACAUGCAAGUCGAACGGCAGCACGGGGGCAACCCUGGUGGCGAGUGGCGAACGGGUGAGUAAUACAUCGGAACGUGCCCGGUCGUGGGGGAUAACGUAGCGAAAGUUACGCUAAUACCGCAUACGAUCUGAGGAUGAAAGCGGGGGACCUUCGGGCCUCGCGCGAUCGGAGCGGCCGAUGUCAGAUUAGGUAGUUGGUGGGAUAAAGGCCUACCAAGCCGACGAUCUGUAGCUGGUCUGAGAGGACGACCAGCCACACUGGGACUGAGACACGGCCCAGACUCCUACGGGAGGCAGCAGUGGGGAAUUUUGGACAAUGGGCGCAAGCCUGAUCCAGCCAUUCCGCGUGCAGGACGAAGGCCUUCGGGUUGUAAACUGCUUUUGUAUGGAACGAAAAGGCUCUGGCUAAUACCUGGGGCUCAUGACGGUACCGGAAGAAUAAGCACCGGCUAACUACGUG